rnacentral:rRNA from 1 species
AACGAACGCUGGCGGCAGGCUUAACACAUGCAAGUCGAACGCCCCGCAAGGGGAGUGGUAGACGGGUGAGUAACGCGUGGGAACAUACCCUUUCCUGCGGGAUAGCUCUGGGAAACUGGAAUUAAUACCGCGUACGCCCUACGGGGGAAAGAUUUAUCGGGGAAGGAUUGGCCCGCGUUGGAUUAGCUAGUUGGUGGGGUAAAGGCCUACCAAGGCGACGAUCCAUAGCUGGUCUGAGAGGAUGAUCAGCCACAUUGGGACUGAGACACGGCCCAAACUCCUACGGGAGGCAGCAGUGGGGAAUAUUGGACAAUGGGCGCAAGCCUGAUCCAGCCAUGCCGCGUGAGUGAUGAAGGCCUUAGGGUUGUAAAGCUCUUUCACCGAUGAAGAUAAUGACGGUAGUCGGAGAAGAAGCCCCGGCUAACUUCGUGCCAGCCGCCGCGGUAACAC